rnacentral:rRNA from 1 species
AUUGAACGCUGGCGGCAGGCCUAACACAUGCAAGUCGAGCGAGCGGCGGACGGGGGAGUAAUGGUUGGGGACUGCCCGAUAGAUGGGGAUAAGUACUGGAAACGGCGGCUAAUACCGCGUACUGUCCGAUUAACCAUUUGGGAUGAGCUAGUGGGUAAGGUAAUGGCUUACCUAGGCGGCGAUCCCUAGCUGGUCUGAGAGGAUGAUCAGCCACACUGGGACUGAGACACGGCCCAGACUCCUACGGAGGCAGCAGUGGGGAAUAUUGGACAAUGGGCGCAAGCCUGAUGCAGCCAUGCCGCGUGUAUGAAGAAGGCUCUAGGGUUGUAAAGUACUUUCAGUCGGGAGGCGGUACCGACAGAAGAAGCACCGGCUAACUCCGUGCCAGCCGCCGCGGUAAUAC